UGCUACCUCCAAAGGAAAGCAAGCCAAGGAGUCAGAAGGGGGAGGCAGUCCCAUUGCCCUGCCCUGCGCCAGGUCUUCUGUGCACGCUGGAGUGGUUGUGGGAAUGAGCACAGGGGCUAACAUGGGACCCUGCAUUUGUCCCAAGGAGGAAGACCGGAGGAAGUAGGAGAGGAAGGCUCUGGAGGAGUGCCAUCCCCUGGGAACGUUAAAAUGUGGAGGGAAGAGAACAGUGGUGAAAGGGAAACUGAGGCACAGAGCAGCGUCAGAACUUGCUCCGUGUCACCUAGCAGGCAAGUGACCAAGG